CUGGUUUCCCUCUCUGGAUCUCACUUUACAGCUUAAUGUGAAAUGGAGGGACACUAACAAAGACAGAAACAAGGACUUGGACCCAUCCCAGAAGCUCAGAGGGGAAUUUAGAGGGAAAGAGAGAGAUUUCUUGUAGGGAGGGCUCGGUCUGGGAGGCGGCUGUGCUGCUAUUAGGGAUGUGCCUCUGAAACACCUGGUGCUGCCUACCACGAUAACUUCAGACGAUUCCUUUGUCAACAUUAAGGCAAGUGGAUCCUCAGAUUACGAGAGCAAGCGACGAUCGAGGAGGAAAAGAGAAAACGAUAAGGACCCUCUUUUACUCUUUCUGGUCUUCCCUGUCACUUUUUUUUAUCAGGCGUUGAAGAAAAACGCUAACUUGCUCUCCGAAAAAUGAAGUUGUACUGCUUACAUAUACAUUAUUUCGGUCGAGGGUGAACCAUGAAUUACAAAUCCUCUGUA